rnacentral:rRNA from 1 species
AAGUCGACUGGAAUUCACCUUCGGGUGAUAAGUACGGUGGCGGACGGGUGAGUAACGCGUAAAGAACUUGCCCUCUAGACUGGGACAACUGUUGGAAACGACAGCUAAUACCGGAUAUUAUGAGAUUCUCGCAUGGGAAACUUAUGAAAGGCUAUAUGCGCUAGAGGAGAGCUUUGCGUGCCAUUAGGUAGUUGGUAGGGUAAUGGCCUACCAAGCCGACGAUGGCUAGCCGGCCUGAGAGGGUGAUCGGCCACAAGGGGACUGAGACACGGCCCUUACUCCUACGGGAGGCAGCAGUGGGGAAUAUCGGACAAUGGACCAAAAGUCUGAUCCAGCAAUUCUGUGUGCACGAUGAAGGUUUUCGGAUCGUAAAGUGCUUUCAGGUGGGAAGAAAAAAAUGACGGUACCACCAGAAGAAGCGACGGCUAAAUACGUGCCAGCAGCCGCGGUAAUACGUAUGUCGCAAGCGUUAUCCGGAAUUAUUGGGCGUAAAGCGCGUCUAGGCGGCCUUUUAAGUCUGAUGUGAAAAUGCGGGGCUCAACUCCGUAUUGCGUUGGAAACUGGAAGGCUAGAGUAUCAGAGAGGUGGGCGGAACUACAAGUGUAGAGGUGAAAUUCGUAGAUAUUUGUAGGAAUGCCGAUUGGGAAGCCAGCUCACUGGAUGAAUACUGACGCUGAAGCGCGAAAGCGUGGGGAGCAAACGGGAUUAGAUACCCCGGUAGUCCACGCCGUAAACGAUGAUCACUAAGUGUGGGGGGUCGAACCUCCGUGCUCAGCUAACGCGAUAAGUGAUCCGCCUGGGGAGUACGCACGCAAGUGUGAACUCAAAGGAAUUGACGGGGACCCGCACAAGCGGUGGAGCAUGUGGUUUAUUCGACGCAACGCGAGGA